rnacentral:rRNA from 1 species
GAUAAACGCUGGCGGCGUGCUUAACACAUGCAAGUCGAACGAAGUUUUUCUUUCGGGAGGAACUUAGUGGCGGACGGGUGAGUAACGCGUGGGUAACCUGCCCUGUACAGGGGGACAACAGCUGGAAACGGCUGCUAAUACCGCAUAAGCCCUUAGCACUGCAUGGUGCAUAGGGAAAAGGAGCAAUCCGGUACAGGAUGGACCCGCGUCUGAUUAGCCAGUUGGCAGGGUAACGGCCUACCAAAGCGACGAUCAGUAGCCGAUCUGAGAGGAUGUACGGCCACAUUGGGACUGAGACACGGCCCAGACUCCUACGGGAGGCAGCAGUGGGGAAUAUUGCACAAUGGAGGAAACUCUGAUGCAGCGACGCCGCGUGAGUGAAGAAGUAUUUCGGUAUGUAAAGCUCUAUCAGCAGGGAAGAAAAUGACGGUACCUGACUAAGAAGCACCGGCUAAAUACGUGCCAGCAGCCGCGGUAAUACGUAUGGUGCAAGCGUUAUCCGGAUUUACUGGGUGUAAAGGGAGCGUAGGUGGCAAGGCAAGCCAGAAGUGAAAACCCGGGGCUCAACCGCGGGAUUGCUUUUGGAACUGUCAUGCUAGAGUGCAGGAGGGGUGAGCGGAAUUCCUAGUGUAGCGGUGAAAUGCGUAGAUAUUAGGAGGAACACCGGAGGCGAAGGCGGCUCACUGGACUGUAACUGACACUGAGGCUCGAAAGCGUGGGGAGCAAACAAGAGUAGAUACCCUGGUAGUCCACGCGGUAA